rnacentral:rRNA from 1 species
CCUACGGGGGCAGCAGUGAGGAAUAUUGCACAAUGGACGCAAGUCUGAUGCAGCAACGCCGCGUGGAGGAUGAAGGUCUUUGGAUCGUAAACUCCUUUUCUCAGGGAAGCGGUACCUGAGGAAUAAGUCACGGCUAACUACGUGCCAGCAGCCGCGGUAAUACGUAGGUGGCAAGCGUUAUCCGGAAUUACUGGGCGUAAAGCGCACGCAGGCGGUCUUUUAAGUUUGACGUGAAAGCUCCCGGCUUAACUGGGAGAGGUCGUUGAAGACUGGAAGACUUGAGGCAAUGAGAGGGGUGUAGAAUUCCCGGUGUAGUGGUGGAAUGCGUAGAUAUCGGGGGGAAUACCAGUGGCGAAAGCGGCACCCUAGCGUUACCUGACGCUCAUGUGCGAAAGCGUGGGGAGCGAACGGGAUUAGAUACCCUUGUAGUC